GGUAGAGCACUGUUUGGACGAGGGGCCCCUCUCGGGUUACCGAAUUCAGACAAACUCCGAAUGCCAAUUAAUUUAACUUGGGAGUCAGAACAUGGGUGAUAAGGUCCGUGUUCGAAAGGGAAACAGCCCAGACCACCAGCUAAGGUCCCAAAAUAUAUGUUAAGUGGAAAAGGAUGUGGCGUUGCCCAGACAACUAGGAUGUUGGCUUAGAAGCAGCCAUCAUUUAAAGAGUGCGUAAUAGCUCACUAGUCGAGUGACACUGCGCCGAAAAUGUACCGGGGCUAAACAUAUUACCGAAGCUGUGGAUUGUCCUUUGGACAAUGGUAGGAGAGCGUUCUAAGGGCGUUGAAGCAUGAUCGUAAGGACAUGUGGAGCGCUUAGAAGUGAGAAUGCCGGUGUGAGUAGCGAAAGACGGGUGAGAAUCCCGUCCACCGAUUGACUAAGGUUUCCAGAGGAAGGCUCGUCCGCUCUGGGUUAGUCGGGUCCUAAGCUGAGGCCGACAGGCGUAGGCGAUGGAUAACAGGUUGAUAUUCCUGUACCACCUAUAAUCGUUUUAAUCGAUGGGGGGACGCAGUAGGAUAGGCGAAGCGUGCGAUUGGAUUGCACGUCUAAGCAGUAAGGCUGAGUAUUAGGCAAAUCCGGUACUCAUUAAGGCUGAGCUGUGAUGGGGAGAAGACAUUGUGUCUUCGAGUCGUUGAUUUCACACUGCCGAGAAAAGCCUCUAGAUAGAAAAUAGGUGCCCGUACCGCAAACCGACACAGGUAGUCAAGAUGAGAAUUCUAAGGUGAGCGAGCGAACUCUCGUUAAGGAACUCGGCAAAAUGACCCCGUAACUUCGGGAGAAGGGGUGCUCUUUAGGGUUAACGCCCAGAAGAGCCGCAGUGAAUAGGCCCAAGCGACUGUUUAUCAAAAACACAGGUCUCUGCUAAACCGUAAGGUGAUGUAUAGGGGCUGACGCCUGCCCGGUGCUGGAAGGUUAAGAGGAGUGGUUAGCUUCUGCGAAGCUACGAAUCGAAGCCCCAGUAAACGGCGGCCGUAACUAUAACGGUCCUAAGGUAGCGAAAUUCCUUGUCGGGUAAGUUCCGACCCGCACGAAAGGCGUAACGAUUUGGGCACUGUCUCAACGAGAGACUCGGUGAAAUCAUAGUACCUGUGAAGAUGCAGGUUACCCGCGACAGGACGGAAAGACCCCGUGGAGCUUUACUGUAGCCUGAUAUUGAAAUUCGGCACAGCUUGUACAGGAUAGGUAGGAGCCUUUGAAACGUGAGCGCUAGCUUACGUGGAGGCGCUGGUGGGAUACUACCCUAGCUGUGUUGGCUUUCUAACCCGCACCACUUAUCGUGGUGGGAGACAGUGUCAGGCGGGCAGUUUGACUGGGGCGGUCGCCUCCUAAAAGGUAACGGAGGCGCUCAAAGGUUCCCUCAGAAUGGUUGGAAAUCAUUCAUAGAGUGUAAAGGCAUAAGGGAGCUUGACUGCGAGACCUACAAGUCGAGCAGGGUCGAAAGACGGACUUAGUGAUCCGGUGGUUCCGCAUGGAAGGGCCAUCGCUCAACGGAUAAAAGCUACCCCGGGGAUAACAGGCUUAUCUCCCCCAAGAGUUCACAUCGACGGGGAGGUUUGGCACCUCGAUGUCGGCUCAUCGCAUCCUGGGGCUGUAGUCGGUCCCAAGGGUUGGGCUGUUCGCCCAUUAAAGCGGUACGCGAGCUGGGUUCAGAACGUCGUGAGACAGUUCGGUCCCUAUCCGUCGUGGGCGUAGGAAAUUUGAGAGGAGCUGUCCUUAGUACGAGAGGACCGGGAUGGACAUACCUCUGGUGUACCAGUUGUCGUGCCAACGGCAUAGCUGGGUAGCUAUGUGUGGACGGGAUAAGUGCUGAAAGCAUCUAAGCAUGAAGCCCCCCUCAAGAUGAGAUUUCCCAACUUCGGUUAUAAGAUCCCUCAAAGAUGAUGAGGUUAAUAGGUUCGAGGUGGAAGCAUGGUGACAUGUGGAGCUGACGAAUACUAAUCGAUCGAAGACUUAAUCAA
rnacentral:rRNA from 1 species